rnacentral:misc_RNA from 1 species
GCUGAUCUCAACAAUGCCUUAGCCUCGACCCAGUUAUCAAACUCAUCAGGUUUGAAACCCUCAGAGCCAUAACCAUGAUCUGUGUAGUAAGGAAGAUUAGAAAGCAAGGUCUCAUCAAUGUCGAAAAUCCAGACAUCCUUUCCAUCGCCAACCAAUUUCACACUCUUGGCAAAAAUCUCUGCCUCAUUCGAAGCAAUUUCGAGUUCAAGUUGAUAGGCUCGACCUGUUACAUACUGCUUCACAUAUUCAGAACAAUAUUCCGGAAUCUUUCUCCACGGAUUCAAAUUAUUAGCCUCCACAUUGAAUCUCCA